GGCGGUACGUUGUCCGGACUUUUGAGGCGUAAGGGCUCGCAGGCGGUUUCUUAAGUCUGAUGUGAAAGCCCCCGGCUCAACCGGGGAGGGUCAUUGGAAACUGGGAAACUUGAGUGCAGAAGAGGAGAGUGGAAUUCCACGUGUAGCGGUGAAAUGCGUAGAGAUGUGGAGGAACACCAGUGGCGAAGGCGACUCUCUGGUCUGUAACUGACGCUGAGGAGCGAAAGCGUGGGGAGCGAACAGGAUUAGAUACCCUGGUAGUCCACGCCGUAAACGAUGAGUGCUAAGUGUUAGGGGGUUUCCGCCCCUUAGUGCUGCAGCUAACGCAUUAAGCACUCCGCCUGGGGAGUACGGUCGCAAGACUGAAACUCAAAGGAAUUGACGGGGGCCCGCACAAGCGGUGGAGCAUGUGGUUUAAUUCGAAGCAACGCGAAGAACCUUACCAGGUCUUGACAUCCUCUGACAACCCUAGAGAUAGGGCUUUCCCUUCGGGGACAGAGUGACAGGUGGUGCAUGGUUGUCGUCAGCUCGUGUCGUGAGAUGUUGGGUUAAGUCCCGCAACGAGCGCAACCCUUGAUCUUAGUUGCCAGCAUUCAGUUGGGCACUCUAAGGUGACUGCCGGUGACAAACCGGAGGAAGGUGGGGAUGACGUCAAAUCAUCAUGCCCCUUAUGACCUGGGCUACACACGUGCUACAAUGGACAGAACAAAGGGCUGCGAGACCGCAAGGUUUAGCCAAUCCCACAAAUCUGUUCUCAGUUCGGAUCGCAGUCUGCAACUCGACUGCGUGAAGCUGGAAUCGCUAGUAAUCGCGGAUCAGCAUGCCGGGGGAAAAAACCUUUCCCGGGCCCUUGUACACACCGCCCGUCACACCACGAGAGUUUGCAACACCCGAAGUCGGUGAGGUAACCUUUAUGGAGCCAGCCGCCGAAGGUGGGGCAGAUGAUUGGGUGAUAGAAGAGAAAGGGGAAAAAAA
rnacentral:rRNA from 1 species